GAUGAACGCUAGCUACAGGCUUAACACAUGCAAGUCGAGGGGUAACGAGAGGAAAGCUUGCUUUCCUUGUCGACGACCGGCGCACGGGUGAGUAACGCGUAUCCAACCUGCCCCCAACUAGGGAAUAACCUUGCGAAAGUAAGACUAAUACCCUAUACUUUCCUCAGAUGUCAUCUGACGAGGAAUAAAGAUUUAUCGGUUGUGGAUGGGGAUGCGGCUGAUUAGCUUGUUGGCGGGGUAACGGCCCACCAAGGCAACGAUCAGUAGGGGUUCUGAGAGGAAGGUCCCCAAAAUUGGAGAUGAGACAAGGUCCAAACUCCUACGGGAGGAAGCAGUAAGGAAUAUUGGUCAAUGGGCGGAAGCUUGAACCAGCCAAGUAGCGUGCAGAAUGACGGCCCGAUGGGUUGUAAACUGCUUUUAUACAGGAAUAAAGUUAGCCACGUGUGGUUAUUUGUAGGUACUGUAUGAAUAAGGACCGGCUAAUUCCGUGCCAGCCGCCCGCCGUAA
rnacentral:rRNA from 1 species